rnacentral:rRNA from 1 species
AUUGAACGCUGGCGGCAGGCCUAACACAUGCAAGUCGAACGAGUGGCGGACGGGUGAGUACUGUCUGGGAAACUGCCUGAUGGAGGGGGAUAACUACUGGAAACGGUAGCUAAUACCGCAUACCAUCGGAUGUGCCCAGAUGGGAUUAGCUAGUAGGUGGGGGAAAGGCUCACCUAGGCGACGAUCCCUAGCUGGUCUGAGAGGAUGCCCAGCAAAACAGGAAGUGAGACACGGACCAGCGGCCUAAGGGAGGCAGCAGUGGGGAAGAUUGCACAAUGGGCGCAAGCCGGAAACAGCCAUGCAGCGUGUAUGAAGAAGGCCUUCGGGUUGUAAAGUACUUUCAGCGGGGAGGCGGUACCCGCAGAAGAAGCACCGGCUAACUCCGUGCCAGCAGGCGCGGUAAUUC